GCAGUCGAACGCUUCUUUUCCCACCGGAGCUUGCUCCACCGGGAAAAGAGGAGUGGCGAACGGGUGAGUAACACGUGGGUAACCUGCCCAUCAGAAGGGGAUAACACUUGGAAACAGGUGCUAAUACCGUAUAACAAUCGAAACCGCAUGGUUUCGUUUUGAAAGGCGCUUUACGGUGCCGCUGAUGGAUGGACCCGCGGUGCAUUAGCUAGUUGGUGAGGUAACGGCUCACCAAGGCCACGAUGCAUAGCCGACCUGAGAGGGUGAUCGGCCACAUUGGGACUGAGACACGGCCCAAACUCCUACGGGAGGCAGCAGUAGGGAAUCUUCGGCAAUGGACGAAAGUCUGACCGAGCAACGCCGCGUGAGUGAAGAAGGUUUUCGGAUCGUAAAACUCUGUUGUUAGAGAAGAACAAGGGUGAGAGUAACUGUUCACCCCUUGACGGUAUCUAACCAGAAAGCCACGGCUAACUACGUGCCAGCAGCCGCGGUAAUACGUAGGUGGCAAGCGUUGUCCGGAUUUAUUGGGCGUAAAGCGAGCGCAGGCGGUUUCUUAAGUCUGAUGUGAAAGCCCCCGGCUCAACCGGGGAGGGUCAUUGGAAACUGGGAGACUUGAGUGCAGAAGAGGAGAGUGGAAUUCCAUGUGUAGCGGUGAAAUGCGUAGAUAUAUGGAGGAACACCAGUGGCGAAGGCGGCUCUCUGGUCUGUAACUGACGCUGAGGCUCGAAAGCGUGGGGAGCAAACAGGAUUAGAUACCCUGGUAGUCCACGCCGUAAACGAUGAGUGCUAAGUGUUGGAGGGUUUCCGCCCUUCAGUGCUGCAGCUAACGCAUUAAGCACUCCGCCUGGGGAGUACGACCGCAAGGUUGAAACUCAAAGGAAUUGACGGGGGCCCGCACAAGCGGUGGAGCAUGUGGUUUAAUUCGAAGCAACGCGAAGAACCUUACCAGGUCUUGACAUCCUUUGACCACUCUAGAGAUAGAGCUUCCCCUUCGGGGGCAAAGUGACAGGUGGUGCAUGGUUGUCGUCAGCUCGUGUCGUGAGAUGUUGGGUUAAGUCCCGCAACGAGCGCAACCCUUAUUGUUAGUUGCCAUCAUUUAGUUGGGCACUCUAGCAAGACUGCCGGUGACAAACCGGAGGAAGGUGGGGAUGACGUCAAAUCAUCAUGCCCCUUAUGACCUGGGCUACACACGUGCUACAAUGGGAAGUACAACGAGUCGCGAAGUCGCGAGGCUAAGCUAAUCUCUUAAAGCUUCUCUCAGUUCGGAUUGUAGGCUGCAACUCGCCUACAUGAAGCCGGAAUCGCUAGUAAUCGCGGAUCAGCACGCCGCGGUGAAUACGUUCCCGGGCCUUGUACACACCGCCCGUCACACCACGAGAGUUUGUAACACCCGAAGUCGGUGAGGUAACCUUUUUGGAGCCAGCCGCCUAAGGUGGGAUAGAUGA
rnacentral:rRNA from 1 species